AACGAACGCUGGCGGCGCGCCUAAUACAUGCAAGUCGAGCGAGAAGACGUAGCAAUACGUUUGUAAAGCGGCGAACGGGUGAGGAAUACAUGGGUAACCUACCCUCGAGUGGGGAAUAACUAGCCGAAAGGUUAGCUAAUACCGCGUACGCUCCUUGGACUUCGGUUCAGGGAGGAAAGCGAUACCGUGGGUAUCGCGCUCUUGGAUGGGCUCAUGUCCUAUCAGCUUGUUGGUGAGGUAACGGCUCACCAAGGCUUCGACGGGUAGCUGGUCUGAGAGGACGAUCAGCCACACUGGCACUGCGACACGGGCCAGACUCCUACGGGAGGCAGCAGUAAGGAAUAUUGCGCAAUGGGCGAAAGCCUGACGCAGCGACGCCGCGUGGGGGAUGAAGGUCUUCGGAUUGUAAACCCCUUUCGGGAGGGAAGAUGGAACGAGCAAUCGUUCGGACGGUACCU
rnacentral:rRNA from 1 species